UUCGCAAUGCCCGAAAGGGUGACGAAGCGACGCCGCGUGGGUGAGGAAGGCCUUCGGGUUGUAAAGCCCUGUCAGGAGUUAAGAAAUGUAAGUGCGCUAAUAUCGCAUUUAUUUGACGAAGGCUCCAAAGGAAGCCACGGCUAACUCUGUGCCAGCAGCCGCGGUAAUACAGAGGUGGCAAGCGUUGUUCGGAAUUAUUGGGCGUAAAGAGCACGUAGGUGGAUUUGUAAGUCAGAUGUGAAAGCCUUCUGUUCAACGGGAGAAUUGCAUCUGAAACUACAGACCUUGAGUAUAGGAGGGGAGAAUGGAACUUCUGGUGGAGCGGUGAAAUGCGUAGAUAUCAGAAGGAACGCCGGCGGCGAAAGCGAUUCUCCGGCCUAUUACUGACACUCAGUGUGCGAAAGCUAGGGGAGCAAACGGGAUUAGAUACCCCGGUAGUCCUAGCCGUAAACGAUGGGCACUAAGUAGAGGGGUUUU
rnacentral:rRNA from 1 species